rnacentral:rRNA from 1 species
GACGAACGCUGGCGGCGUGCUUAACACAUGCAAGUCGAACGAAGUGGCGAACGGGUGAGUACUACGUGGGUAACCUGCCCUCCUUUUUGGGAUAAGCCUUGGAAACGGGGUCUAAUACCGAAUAAAGGGGGAUGGGCUCGCGGCCUAUCAGCUUGUUGGUUGGGUGAUGGCCUACCAAGGCGGUGACGGGUAGCCGGGCGUAGAGGAGGAACGGGCAAAUUUGGACUGAGAAAAGGCCCAGACUCCUACGGGAGGCAGGAGUGGGGAAUCUUCCGCAAAGGAAGAAAGUCUGACGGAGCAAAGCCGCGGGAGUGAUGAAGGCCUUCGGGUUGUAAAGCUCUUUUAAUCGGAAAGCGGUACCGGAAUAGAAAGCCACGGCUAACUACGUGCCAGCAGCCGCGGUAAUAC